AGAGAGUGCGAGCGUUAAUCGGAAUUACUGGGCGUAAAGCGCACGUAGGCGGAUACUUUAGUCGGGUGUGAAAGCCCUAGGCUUAACCUAGGAAUUGCAUUCGAUACUGGGUGUCUAGAGUAUGGUAGAGGGAAGUGGAAUUUCCGGUGUAGCGGUGAAAUGCGUAGAUAUCGGAAGGAACACCAGUGGCGAAGGCGGCUUCCUGGACCAAUACUGACGCUGAGGUGCGAAAGCGUGGGGAGCAAACAGGAUUAGAGACCCUGGUAGUCCACGCUGUCAACGAUGAGAACUAGACGUUGGAGGGUUUACCCUUUAGUGUCGAAGCUAACGCGCUAAGUUCUCCGCCUGGGGAGUACGGUCGCAAGAUUA
rnacentral:rRNA from 1 species